rnacentral:rRNA from 1 species
UUGGUUAGUGGCAGACGGGUGAGUAAUGCAUAGGUAACAUACCCUUAAGUUUGGGAUAACUUUUUGAAAGGAAAGCUAAUACCGAAUAUUCUCUUUUUAUCGCCUGAUUUUAAGAGGAAAGUUCUGGCGCUUAAGGAGUGGCCUAUGUCUGAUUAGCUAGUUGGUAGGGUAAUGGCCUACCAAGGCAACGAUCAGUAGCUGGUCUGAGAGGAUGACCAGCCACACUGGAACUGAGACACGGUCCAGACUCC